rnacentral:sRNA from 1 species
UCAGUCAUAGAGGGGGCCCACGGGCGCAACU